CUCCUCUCGAGCCAUAGCGUACACACGGGGUGCUACUCCAGCCUCGGGCCGUUCUGUAGUCUCAGAAGCCCUUUGUGAUGUACCAGCUGUUUCAGGUCUCACUGGUCUUCUACCCCUUUGCACUGUCGGGGCAGACCUCUCAGUCGGUGGUAGUGCAGUGGGAGCACUCCCCUGUGGACAACUUCGUAUGAAAUGAUCCGUAGACCCACAUCUGAAAUAUCCACCAGUCAACAGUCG
rnacentral:misc_RNA from 1 species